GUUCUCUCAAAAGAAACUCCACUUCAGGAGCAAAAAUACUGGUUUCGGGAAACCUUUGACUAUCUUUUCAACAUUGCUAAUUCUGGAGAAGCUACAGAAGCUGGUAUAUACUUCCUUUCUGGGUAAGCAGGUUCUGUUAAUAUAUAAAUAUUUACAUACAUAGAAUAAAUAGAGCAUGUUAGCAUUCCACCUGCUUAAUUAAAUCAAAUCUUCUCCUCAACAUUUUACGUUGAUGCAAUCAUACCACCCCACAUCUCUAUAAUGAUGAAGUACAUGUGUAUGUGUUUGUGUGUGUAUGUUCUCACCAAAGCCCAGUUUCAAAGCUCUUAAAAAUGUAUAGUAUUUUUAAAAAACACCCAACGUAGGGAAAAAUAAAGGGGAUUCAGUUACAGUAUAUGAUCAUACAUUGUAUAAGCCUGCAAUAAUGUAAAUGCACCCCUUUUCUCUAGAUAUUUUUUUGUUCUUUAGAUUUCCAGUAACACAAAGGGGGGGUAUACCUUUAGUUAUUUUGGUAUAUAAACUCAAAAGGUGCGCUGUAUUAAACAUCACAUGGAUUUACCUUAAGGUGGCAGGUAUACAAGAAACGGCCUAAAGAAGCCUUCCCCUUUUGGUGGGAUGUUGUUCUAGGAUUUCGGGUGAUGACUGAGAAUGAGUUGGAAAAGUUUCCUCGCCAUACAUUUGGUCAGACAUUUACAACACUCAAGUGCCAGUCUACACUUUAUCUUCCUUGGAUGGAGAAAAGGUUAGUUGUCUUUCAAUCUAUUUUAUUUGCAAAAUGUACUGGAUUUUUUAUAAUAUCAGGGCAUACAGUAAAAAGGAAGAAUUGAGAUUAUCCCUUACGUAUUUUACUUAUUUCACAACCUGGUCCUCAUUGAUUAAUUUUCUUUUAAAAUAUGAAGAGAUAUCUUCUAAGCAGUGGAACAUUAUAUCUGAGUAAUAGGAAUUCUCAGGGGUCGAAGGUUCAAUUCACGAUAGGGUUGACUCAGACCUUCAUCCUUCUGAAGUUGAUAAAAUAAGUACCAUUAAAUUGGGUGAGAGUAACUUUCCCAGGACAUACUUGGAAACCAGAGUAAUCUAAAUGUACCUAUCCUGGUUAAAUACUUUGUUGUUAUUAUUAUUAUUAAUUCUAGUUGGCCUGAAUACAAUCUCUUUUAUAUAACACUUAAUUAUUAAUAUUAUACUAUGCUAAUAGCAUAUAUUUCAUGUUUAGUUCUAUCCUUAAACUCAUAUCAGCAAAUAGUAGAAAUAAGAAUAACAAAACUGUAAAAACAUGAUAUAAUCAGUAAAUGUUUCUCCCAAUUUUGUACCUUCCAAUGUAAUGCUCUUACUUUGGGGGUGUGGGGUAGACUACUGCUCAACAGAAGUGCUCUAUGGAAGGCCAGAGGAGCAGAUUAGAUAAGGGACUGUUUGCUCAACACAGGUGUAGCCCUUUGUAGCCUUUCUCAUAUCUCAUAUUCUGUUGCAGGUUUAAAAGUAACGGUGGAAAACUAAUAGCAAGAAAAGUUGAUGAUGUUUGGCAGCUACAUGGCACAUAUGAUAUAAUCGUGAACUGUACAGGCAUAGGAUCAAGAGAACUAACUGGUGAUAUAUUAUUGUAUCCUGUUAAAGGCCAAGUUCUGGAGGUCCACGCACCCUGGAUAAAACACUUUAUUAGAGAUGGAGACGAGAACACUUAUAUAUACCCAGGAAUAAAUAACACAACUCUUGGUGGAACGAGACACAAACAUGACUGGAGCCUAUUGCCUGAUUUUAAAAUCAGCAAAGAAAUCCAAGAUCGGUGUUGUGAACUUGAACCAUCUCUUCAUGGUGUUGGUGUGAUUCGCGAGAAGGUCGGCUUAAGGCCAGUACGUGCAGCAGUGAGACUUGAGAAAGAGGUGCUUUUUAAGAAAGGACAAAAACUUCACAUGGUGCACAAUUAUGGCCAUGGUGCCAGUGGAUAUUCUGUGCAUAUUGGAACUGCCAAAAGAGCCACCAAACUGGUUGAAGAAUUAAUUCCAUUGAUAGGCAGCUAUAUUGCAAAGUCAAAACUAUAAGUUCUUGACUUUAAAGAUAAUCAUAAUUAGUAUAUUUCUCCAUAUAAGAUUCAACAAGGCUGAGACACCCACAUGGUUCAAAUGGUGGAUGGGAUGCUAACAUGGCAUGGCUUGAGUUACAAGCUAGUUGUUUGAUUGUUUUUUCACUUUGUGUAUAUUCUAGUCUCUGACC
rnacentral:lncRNA from 1 species